rnacentral:rRNA from 1 species
AUUGAACGCUGGCGGCAGGCCUAACACAUGCAAGUCGAGCGGCAGCGGGAAAGUAGCUUGCUACUUUUGCCGGCGAGCGGCGGACGGGUGAGUAAUGCCUGGGAAAUUGCCCAGUCGAGGGGGAUAACAGUUGGAAACGACUGCUAAUACCGCAUACGCCCUACGGGGGAAAGCAGGGGACCUUCGGGCCUUGCGCGAGUGGAUAUGCCCAGGUGGGAUUAGCUAGUUGGUGAGGUAAUGGCUCACCAAGGCGACGAUCCCUAGCUGGUCUGAGAGGAUGAUCAGCCACACUGGAACUGAGACACGGUCCAGACUCCUACGGGAGGCAGCAGUGGGGAAUAUUGCACAAUGGGGGAAACCCUGAUGCAGCCAUGCCGCGUGUGUGAAGAAGGCCUUCGGGUUGUAAAGCACUUUCAGCGAGGAGGAAAGGUCAGUAGCUAAUACCUGCUGGCUGUGACGUUACUCGCAGAAGAAGCACCGGCUAACUCCGUGCCAGCCGCCGCAGUAAGAC